UUGAACGCUGGCGGCAUGCCUUACACAUGCAAGUCGAACGGCAGCACGGGAGCAAUCCUGGUGGCGAGUGGCGAACGGGUGAGUAAUGUAUCGGAACGUACCUUUCAGUGGGGGAUAACGUAGCGAAAGUUACGCUAAUACCGCAUACGACCUACGGGUGAAAGCAGGGGAUCGCAAGACCUUGCGCUAUUGGAGCGGCCGAUGUCAGAUUAGGUUGUUGGUGGGGUAAAAGCCCACCAAGCCGACGAUCUGUAGCUGGUCUGAGAGGACGACCAGCCACACUGGGACUGAGACACGGCCCAGACUCCUACGGGAGGCAGCAGUGGGGAAUUUUGGACAAUGGGCGCAAGCCUGAUCCAGCCAUGCCGCGUGCGGGAAGAAGGCCUUCGGGUUAUAAACCGCUUUUGUCAGGGAAGAAACGCUCUGGGCUAAUACCCCGGGGUAAUGACGGUACCUGAAGAAUAAGCACCGGCUAACUACGU
rnacentral:rRNA from 1 species